AGCUAACUGAAUCCUAAUCCACCAAGGGAAGGUGUGCCAGAAGAAAGUAAUUCAACAACGUGGGUUGAUAAACCAUAAGACGUGUGGCCAGAACCCCCCG